CUUCGUGGCUGUUGGGUGGCCACCUGAAUCUUUAUUCAGAUGUGCAGAUGACGUCUCUCCACCCCCUCAACUUAUCUCAUCCAGGAGUCAAAGGAGAACAAAGAGAGAUGGAAAGCAUGACUUAAAAUUGGAUUAAACUGGCUGCGAUAUGGAUUAGUUUGCCGGAAACUACACUGAAUUCCAUGUAAAAUUAAGAAGGCAUGGCAAAUAGAUGCUACAGAAGCAAACAGAAAGAUUCAGCUUCAGCAUGGCUGAGCCUCUGAAGAAUGCGGUGGAAAGGAAAUGUGAUGUUUCUCAGCUUUUUCACUCCAUGUCCACCUAACUCUUCAAGUCACUCUUCCAUCUUCUUCAUGUGAUUCUGACUGUGCAGGGGAAAAAAUAACUGAUGUGACUAUCCAUGCCUUCUGAAUGACAUAUGCUUAAAUGCCAGCUCUUUGUCUUGUGGGCUUUUGUGGAAAGCACAUGUUUAAAUAUAAAGUAUGCAGUCUUCAGGAAUAUAGAUGUAAUUUGUUGUUUUGUUGUGUUUGUUUAUUUCUACUGAACCAAACACAAAGUAGUGUACACUUUGUUCUGUGUUUGAUUGUCUCUGCAUAUUAAUUUAUUCCACCUUCUUUCAAUAUGUGCUUAAAUUGGGAUCACUUUUCUUCAGAGAUAAUCUCCCUCUCCUUUUGUUUCUAGUUAGGAGCAUCACCAAAUUGGAAACUCUUUGUUUGCAAUAAGUCAUCUGGCUCAGUGAGUGUGAUGGAUGAGGAGGGAGGAAAGACAGAGAGAAAGAGAGAGGAAGUGAACCACACAUCCAGGUUCAGAUAACUUUGCUACUUGCCAAAGUUUUUAUGUUCUGAUAUUGUUGCUCCUCUUAGUGUUCUGUGAUGUUUGUCCUCAGGGAAACCCGUAUUUUUUUCUCUCCAAAACAUGCCAGUUGUUUGCUUAUUGGUGUUCCUAGCUUCCACUGUAACAGUUAGCAUUUCCAGGAGAAGGCAGUUCUUGAGUACUUCCCUACUACUUGGGUGACCAUCAGUACCUCAAACACUGUGGCUUCUGAGAGCCCUAGUUAGUCUCUUGGGCGAGGACUUCUCAGAGUACCAAACACAUCAAAAUAAGCUAAUUCAAGUUAAUUCCUCAUGUGGUGGUGUCAUAUGUGCCUGUGUGACCAUUUCUUAGAUUUAUCUCACCUUAAUGUAAUGUUUGCAUAAAGGAAUGCUUCUGUUAUUCUGCCAGUGAUAUCUCACUCUUUUAAAGGACUUGGAUCUGGAAGGAUUUAUUAUAGCCACUUAUAUAUUGAAUCAGCAAUUCAUAAAACUGCAGAGCACAUAUUGGGAUUGCCAAAUGCAAAUUAAAUGUAAAGAGUACAAUCAAUAAUAUUGUAAUGAAAUGUUUUUAUGGUGAAUUUUUUGCUUUAUUAGGACUUUCAUGUACAAAAAAUAGGUUUUCUUCAAAAAGUAUUACUUGAGAUGACA
rnacentral:lncRNA from 10 species